UGUCUGGAUGCAGCGUGCUUAGUGGAGCAUCAUGGCUUGCGCAUAACUAUUGCUGAUGCACGGUUUUGCAAGCUAUUGGAUCGUUUCCUCAUUCGCAGCCUAGGAAAAUCACACGAAGUUUUGAUCACUAUCGAAGAAGGAUCGAUUGGAGGAUUCAGGUCUCAUGUUGUUCAGUUCAUGGCCCUUGAUGGUCUUCUAGAUAGAAAAUUGAAGUGGAGGCCAAUGGUUCUUCCAAAUCGUUAUAUUGACCACGGAUCGCUUGCUCAUCAGUUGUUUGAAGCUGGCCUUGCUCCAACUUAGAUAGCAGCAACUAUGUUCAACAUACUUAGACAGACAAGGGAGGCACUAGAGGUUAUGUCAUAAAAAGAGAAAUAUCAAGAGGGGAUAAAUUUUCACUCCCCACAAUAUAGACAUGUUAACGAUAUAAAUCACCUUGUGUAACACAAACAAGGUACUAUUAGAAUGU